CAGAAGUGUCAUGUAAGAGUUUCCAAGAACUUUUGCGGGAGGGAGCUGGCACACAUCCUUUGCCCCUUUUCUUUUGCUUCUUUCUCCAUCCUACAGCCUAGAACACAGAUGUGAUGGCUCCAUCGUGGACCAUGAAGGGACUCAAGAAGUCAGCCAAGCCCACGGUCUUUGAACUCUUCACUCUUGCCAUAACGAUUUAUUACCAUAGCCACUUGGCCUUCUAACAUUUUGGAUUCCAUAGAUACAAUUUUUUCCCCAGUUCUGCAGAACAGUCAAGCACACUGGGAAUGGAUGUGGAGUGAGUCAAUCCAGAGUGUCCAGCCAACACUCCUCAAUCCAGUACCAGGGGACAGCUCAUCCUUCUGCAACUUGCCAAGAUGUUCAUGCCUCCUUUACAACAUUUCUGCAUUUCCUUCUGCCUUGAAUCUUGUCGCUCUCCCUCGCUCAUUUCCCUGCUGUGAGUCUGUGCUUCUCUCUCAAGAUCCAAAGCAAAUGCCACCCCUGGCAGAGCAAAUCCAUCUGCCUGCUGCGGGAUCCAAUAGCUCUAGGAACAUUCCUCAGUAACUGUCCUUAGGGGAACCGUGCCUAUUGGUUUACAGAUCUCCCUUCUCUGCUAAAAUGUGAGCUCCUCCAGGGCCGGAUUAUGAGCGACUGUCGUGGUAUCUGUGCCCUCCUCUGCAUCCUGUUGUAUUCUCAGUCUGGCACAGAGUAGGGGCUAAGGAAAUGAUUGUUGAACUAGUGAGUAUAGAUAACGGCUCCAGACAAAGCCCCCCCCCCUCUCGGCUGGGAGGGCCGAGAGUAGACUCGGGAGUAGAACUGCCUGUGUGUGGAUCUCGGCUCUCCAUGCACCGCGGGGGCAUCUCGGGCAUGUUACGUGACCUCUCUGUGCCUUAGUUCUCAUCUUUGUUAAAUGAGUCCAAUAACAUCUACAGGGGUAUUGUGGAGAUUAAGCGACACAGUCCCUGUGAAGCAUUUAGUACAGUACCCAGCACGCAGACAGAACUCAAUAAACGUCAGCUAUUACCAG
rnacentral:lncRNA from 1 species